rnacentral:rRNA from 1 species
UACGUGAGGAGGCAAGCGUUGUCCGGAAUUACUGGGGCGUAAAGCGCGUGUAGGUGGUGGGACAAGUCUGCUGUGAAAGCGCCUGGCUUAACCGGGCGAGGUCGGCGGAAACUGUCCGACUCGAGGACGGUAGAGGGGGGUGGAAUUCCCGGUGUAGUGGUGAAAUGCGUAGAGAUCGGGAGGAACACCUGUGGCGAAAGGCGGCCCCCUGGGCCGGCCCUGACACUGAGACGCGAAGGCGAUGGGGAGCGAACGGGG